AAAUGUUUUUGUCUACGUAUGUUUACAGCGGCUCCUAUUUGAGUUAGUCGUCAGUUGUUCCUGUAGCUUCGAUCAUUAUACGGUUAAGUUUUAUCUAUGUUUAUAGCGGAUCCUUUUUUAGUCAUUAAUUGUACAUGUGGCUCCGCUAAUUCUACGGUUAAGUUUUAUCUAACGUUUAAACAUUUGACCCAUGACUUAAAACGACAUUGAGGGAGAGUAUGAGCGUAGAGCAGGGGUGUGUCGUUAUCGCUUCUCGGCCUUUUGGCUAAGAUCAAGUGUAGUAUCUGUUCUUAUCAGUUUAAUAUCUGAUACGUCCCCUACCCGGGGACCAUAUAUUAAAUUGAUUUUUGGAUCUGGGAGAUGGAAUAGGGGCUUGCUCCGUCCACUCCGCGUAUCGACCUGGUAUUGCAGUACCUCCAGGAACGGUGCACCCCCUAAAAUUGUGAAAUAUAAGUAUCCAACUGAGUUGUUUCAGCAAUAGUGACGUUGUUAACCUAUAACAGGUCAGAAAAAAUUUCACUAUCCGCUCGUUCUAAUGAAUAUAAGUGUUUUGUCUGUGUAGUUGAUGUAGAACACGAGACUGUACUCUGCUUAUUAAAAGUGUGGCUCUUUUAAUCCUCCAUAAUAAUAAUCCUCCUUUUUUCCAUUUUAAACAUACUACGUUCUCUGUAUAUAUAUGUGUGUGUGUGUGUGUGUGUGUGUGUGUGUGAAGAGAGUGAACGCUAGGUUGUACAGAUGCAGUCAGAAAGUCGCCGCUUUUGGUUCUGUUACAUUGGAUUUGAUCCGUUACCUUGUCUUGCCUAGGGGACUAUUGGCUACAGGACUUUCA